rnacentral:snoRNA from 1 species
AUCGCGGAUAGGAACCAUGGCGUAUUCAUAUAUGCAUGUGGGCCGAUAACCCGCGUAGAUCGGUUGAUGAUAAUGGUCGCACUGCGACACUUUUUGUCGACAGAGCAUUACCACUUCAUCGGACAGUU